UUUUUAGUACUUGGAGGUGGUUUUAUUUUGAAUUUGACCUGUUCAUUAACCAGUCAAAAAUCCAAAACUAAAUUCAACAUAUUUCUUAGAUAAAUAAAUCACUUAAUGGGUCCAAACAAUUUAGAUGAUAAACCUGAAUGGACAAAUUAGGACGAACCCACUUAUAUCAACCCAAAUCUACUUUUCGGAUUGGUUGUUGGUUGGGCUGGUAGGUCGGAUCAUAAAUAACUAUCUGCAUAAAGUCGAUGCCAAGUUAGAACCAAAGUAUUGGCUUAUUCUUGCUGAUACCGAAGAUGGAAAAGUUGGAAAGAAUCGGGAGAUUCCUCGACCUCGAGUGAUGUCGCCGGCUCGGGAUGUUAAAAUCUUGAUUAAUUUUGUAAUGUCAAAAUAUCAUAUAGAAUCAACCUAAAUAUUUAACAAUUAUAAAUUCUUUUUUAGAUGAAAUAUUAGCUAUUAUUUUGAAAGAAAAGAAAGAAAGAAACAACAAUCUGCACUAAAAUUAUCUAGAUUCAAAAAAUUAAAAAUAUACUUUUAUCCAACAUUCAAACUAGAAUUGAUCUUUGAUAAGCAGAUUAAUAGACUUUGACUGCUGGGCAAGCACCAAUUCCAGAUUCCAAUGCAAACUAAUAUCUCAGCUUGAUCAGUUUUUUCUGCCGACAUCCCACUAAUGCCAAACUAGUGAUCACCAAAAACGCAUGCGAAUCUAAGUAACUA
rnacentral:lncRNA from 1 species